CAUUGCUGGAACGCGCCCCUGGCGCACCCAGAAACCCUUUGUGAACUCAUACCUUACCGUUGCCUCGGCGCAGGCCGGCCCCCCCUGGGGGGCCCCUCGGAGACGAGGAGCAGGCCCGCCGGCGGCCAAGUUAACUCUUGUUUUUACACUGAAACUCUGAGAAACAAAACACAAAUGAAUCAAAACUUUCAACAACGGAUCUCUUGGUUCUGGCAUCGAUGAAGAACGCAGCGAAAUGCGAUAAGUAAUGUGAAUUGCAGAAUUCAGUGAAUCAUCGAAUCUUUGAACGCACAUUGCGCCCUCUGGUAUUCCGGAGGGCAUGCCUGUUCGAGCGUCAUUUCAACCCUCAAGCCUGGCUUGGUGAUGGGGCACUGCUCCCCCCCGGGGAGCAGGCCCUGAAAUCCAGUGGCGAGCUCGCCAGGACCCCGAGCGCAGUAGUUAAACCCUCGCUCCGGGAGGCCCUGGCGGUGCCCUGCCGUUAAACCCCCAACUUCUGAAAGUUUGACCUCGGAUCAGGUAGGAAUACCCGCUGAACUUAAGCAUAUC
rnacentral:rRNA from 1 species